rnacentral:ncRNA from 1 species
UUACGGGGUGCCAUUUGGCUGAGAUUAUACCCAUUGAACCUGGACGGAUAAUGCCGGCGUAGGGACAGCUGA